rnacentral:rRNA from 1 species
AUUCCAGCUCCAAUAGCGUAUAUUAAAGUUGUUGCAGUUAAAAAGCUCGUAGUCGGAUUUUGGCAUCACGCCGCACUGUCUGCCGAUUGGUAAGUACGGUUUGGCGGGUGCUUCCUUCCGGUGCUGCGUUCUGCUCUUAGUUGAGCGGUUCGUUGGUUCCGGUUCUUUUACUUUGAGAAAAUUAGAGUGUUCAAAGCAGGCCUAUGCUCUGAAUAGGUUAGCAUGGAAUAAUAGAAUAGGACUUUGGUUCUAUUUUGUUGGUUUCUAGGACCGAAGUAAUGAUAAAUAGGGACAGUUGGGGGCAUUCAUAUUCCAUUGUCAGAGGUGAAAUUCUUGGAUUAACGGAAGAUGAACUUCUGCGAAAGCAUCUGCCAAGGAUGUUUUCAUUG